GAUCAAUGUGGUGCCGUGGUUUGAGUGUUGGACUAUGACUCUGAAGAACAGGGUUCGAAUCCCUGCUCAGUCA